GAUGAAGAACGUAGCGAAAUGCGAUAACUAAUGUGAAUUGCAGAAUUUAGUGAAUCAUCGAGUCUUUGAACGCACAUUGCGCCCCCUGGUAUUCCGGGGGGCAUGCCUGUCCGAGCGUCAUUGCUGCCCUCAAGCACGGCUUGUGUGUUGGGCUCCGUCCCCCCGGGGACGGGCCCGAAAGGCAGCGGCGGCACCGAGUCCGGUCCUCGAGCGUAUGGGGCUUUGUCACCCGCUCUGUAGGCCCGGCCGGCGCCAGCCGACAACCCAUCAUCCUUUUCAGGUUGACCUCGGAUCAGGUAGGGAUACCCGCUGAACUUAAGCAUAUCAAUAAGCGGAGGA
rnacentral:misc_RNA from 1 species